rnacentral:misc_RNA from 1 species
GAAAUGCGAUAAGUAAUGUGAAUUGCAGAAUUCAGUGAAUCAUCGAAUCUUUGAACGCACAUUGCGCCCGGCAGCAAUCUGCCGGGCAUGCCUGUCCGAGCGUCAUUUCUGCCCUCGAGCGCGGUUCGGCCCCUAGCGGGCCGGCCGCCGCCCGGUGUUGGGGCGCUGCGGGCCCUCGUGCCCGCAGGCCCUGAAAUGAAGUGGCGGUCCCGCCGCGGCGCCCCCUGCGUAGUAGUAAAGCACCUCGCAUCGGGUCCCGGCGGAGGCCAGCCGUCGAACCUCUCUUUUGAUGGUUUGACCUCGGAUCAGGUAGAGUUACCCGCUGAACAUAAGC